rnacentral:antisense_RNA from 1 species
CUUGACCGAACCGAGCCACAGUGGGUCGGUGGCGCGUUCCCGGCCGUACGUGGCCAGCAGCGCCUGUGCCUC